rnacentral:rRNA from 2 species
UCCUAAAGAGUAACGGAGGAGCACGAAGGUUGGCUAAUCCUGGUCGGACAUCAGGAGGUUAGUGCAAUGGCAUAAGCCAGCUUGACUGCGAGCGUGACGGCGCGAGCAGGUGCGAAAGCAGGUCAUAGUGAUCCGGUGGUUCUGAAUGGAAGGGCCAUCGCUCAACGGAUAAAAGGUACUCCGGGGAUAACAGGCUGAUACCGCCCAAGAGUUCAUAUCGACGGCGGUGUUUGGCACCUCGAUGUCGGCUCAUCACAUCCUGGGGCUGAAGUAGGUCCCAAGGGUAUGGCUGUUCGCCAUUUAAAGUGGUACGCGAGCUGGGUUUAGAACGUCGUGAGACAGUUCGGUCCCUAUCUGCCGUGGGCGCUGGAGAACUGAGGGGGGCUGCUCCUAGUACGAGAGGACCGGAGUGGACGCAUCACUGGUGUUCGGGUUGUCAUGCCAAUGGCACUGCCCGGUAGCUAAAUGCGGAAGAGAUAAGUGCUGAAAGCAUCUAAGCACGAAACUUGCCCCGA